UUUCAGAGACAUUAUGCACCCUUCCCAGGUCUAAACAGUUUCAUGCUACCAAAUCUUGUUCUGUGACGUGUACCGUCUGUGCUUUCUUUUUCUACCCUUUUUUAAUCCUUCUGGGUCCACUUUUACUUUUUUGGCAAGUGGGGUUGUACGUCAUUGAUUGACAUUGUACAGCAACCAUGCGGUCCAUAUUAGUAGUACCCUGUUCUGAGGGAUUCAUUGGUAGAGAUCAUGUUGGAACUUUCUAAUUAACAUUACCCUUGUAAACAUCUACCAUGAAUGGUUCGAUCAAUGGUCAUUCCAGGUUUGCUUCCAAUUAAAGUUUUAUGACAGGGUGUCAACUGAUCAUAUUUCACAAAUGUUUUUUUUUUUUGUUUUUUCAUUGCGGUUUGUUCUUAAUUCUCAUGAAUCAUCUCUGGUUGGUUACUUCGAUACUGCUUUGAAUACUCAGCACAACUAUUAAAGUUUCCUUACUCUUUUUUUUAUUUUGGGUCUCAGUAGGUUGGGCACUGUUUACUCUUGUUCCUAUUUAAGUCCACUGUUGUUUGAGUUUCAGGGAGUGCAGUUCCAUCCUGAGAGCAUCAUUACCACAGAAGGCAAGAUGAUGAUUAACAACUUCAUCAAGUCUAUUGAAGCUGUGGAAGACUCAAUUCCCAAGCCUUGAAAAUGUCUAUCCAAAAGAAAAAAGGAAAAAUAUUUAUAAGACUCAGAACAAAACAAUGAGCAGUAUUGCUGCUGUCAAUAGAGAUCUAAUUUUCUUCAUCCAUUCUCUCAAUUCUCCAUGCCCACUCAUUGUGAGCAGGUUGAAACUCUGGAGACAUCGGUAUCAUUCCAAGAAGUCUCCAAAGCUUCCAACUUGACUCGUGGCUUGGACUGCUGCCGUGAUAUAUUCUUUGGGCUCAUUCCACGAAGAGCCCUGCUUGAUCUCCAUCUAAUGCCAAAAAUAAAAAAGGAAGAAGAAAAACAUCCACUAAUGAGCCCUGCAAGUUUUACUGCUAUCUAUUUGUAUCAAUUCAAUGGUGAUCAACAGCUGUCUCUCAAUGAUGAAGGGAAAAGAGGCAUUGAUUAGGUUUCACCGUGAUCACCUUUGUCCCUAUGUUGGUCCCCGUCAUACCCAACUUUAGGGACCACAUUCCUCCACCCAAGGCUAGCAGAAUCUUGCUACUUGGCAGAGGACCAAAGGACAUGGAGAGCAGCCUCCAUGCUGGCCCAGAUGGGGGGGCAGCUAUAAUGCAGACACCUCCCAAAUGGCCAAAACAAGCUCAAAAGAAAUGCAAACCUAACUACUCCUAUCUGUAAAGCCAUGGCCCUACCCCAGCACCACACCCACCACCAUCACCACCUUAGAGUGCCAAUGCUAAUGGUAUCAGUAGGCGGGAAGGAACAAGUACAAGAAAGACAUCUAUGAUAAAGAAGACGGGC